UGUCCAAUAAGCACAUGGAAAUACUCUUGACAUCAUCAGUGAUUAGGGAAAUGCAAAUCAAAACCACAGUGUGAUGCUCCCCCAGGAUGGCUACAGUCAAAAGUCAGAGAAGAACAAAUGCUGAAGAUGAUGUGCAGCGAGUGGAACCCUCACACACUGCUGGUGGGAAUGCAAGAUGGCACAGGUGAUUUGGAAAACCAUUGGGCAGUUCCUUAAAAGGCCAAACCUGAGGUUACUGUAUGAUCCAGAAAUUCCAGCCCUAGCUAUGUACCCAAGACAUGAAAACAUGUGUUGACACAAAAACUUGUACAUGGACUUUCAUAGCAGCAUUACUCAUAGUGGCUGAAAGGCAGAAGGAAUCCAAUUGUCCAUCAACUCAUGACAGAAAAAUAAAAUGUGAAAUAUCUAUACAAUGGAAUAAUAUUUGUCUAUAAGAAUGAAAAAAGUAGUGAUACAACAUGGAUGAAUCUUGAGAACAUCAUGCUAAGUGAAAGAAGUCAGCUACAAAGACCAUAUAUAGUAUGAUUUCAUUGCUAUGAAAUGUCCAGAAUAGCCAAAUUCAUAAAGACAGGGAGUAGAUUAGUGGUGGCCACGAGAUGGGGGAGAGGGGAAUGGGAAGUGACUGCCAUUGGGACAGAGUUUCCUUUUGGGGUGAUGAAACUGUUCUGAAAUUAGAUAGUGGUGAUGGUUGCACAAUUCUGUGGAUUUACUGAAAACCACCGACGUGUACAUUUUCAGUCGGUGAGUAUUAUGGUAUGUGAAUAAAAUUAUCAAAAUCAAAGCUAAAACACCAAACUGUUUCCAAGAACUCCAGGGGCAGGAAGGGCUGGGUGCCAGAGAGAGAUGGAGCCUGGUAAACAGAGGAGCAGAGUAAGAAGUGGGGAGACAGGUGCUUCUCCUAAGCUGGCCCCUUGUGUGUUACCUCAUUGAGGUUGUGGCAUGUGAAACUGUCACUCAUGUGUAAGGGCUUUAAAACGGAGCUGAGAAGCCACGAAGGAAAUGUGGUUCCUAUACACAUCCUCAGGGAGCAGAACAUGACCUUCUGAACUGAGUAACCUGCAAGAAACCUGCAGCCCCUCACAGUGAUGGGCUUUUGCCUCCCUCUGGCUAGCCUUAGUAACCAAUUAUUUGUAGCCAAGAUUACCUUUCUGCCCCCAAACCAAUUAACAUUGUUAGUAUGCAUACUUCCUUUCUGGUGCCUUUAAAAGCCUCUGACUUUUACUCCCUAGGGUACACUAUUCGGGUUUGUAACUGAAUCUGUGCUCCCUGAAUAGCAAUUCUCUGAUCGCACAAUAAAUGCCUCUCUGCCUCUCAUUUUCGUUCUUCACUUGUAGGUUAAUCAGGCCAGUGGUGCGUGUCUGACUCCUGCCCAGCACUUGGGUUUCUGUUUUGACUCGAGCCAGAAUAUCAGCAAAAGCUGCAAAGCGAAUAUGCUCCUGAUCUUUUCGAUUUGUUCUGUCUUCCAGGCUUAGCCUGAAAGCUGACUCUGUAAACGCGCCCUUUGCUCAGCGCUGCCAAGACUUGGUUAAAGUCACUGAGGAGUUUCCCGCAAAGACACAGAGAAACACGUGGAUAUGCAGGCCAGGAUCGCUCCAAGCGUCCCCGCGGCCGCUCUGCUCCCGCUCCGGCUCACCGGCGUCCUGUGAGACACUGCACUGGGUGCUGCUACCUAAGCGAGAAUGACCGAAGCAGCCCAGCAGGGAAGGCCAGAUCGCCAAGGAGCGGGUCUCUGAGGUCUCCACCUUUCCCCCCGCACCU